UACGGAGGGUGCAAGCGUUAUCCGGAUUCACUGGGUUUAAAGGGUGCGUAGGUGGGCAGGUAAGUCAGUGGUGAAAUCUCCGGGCUUAACUCGGAAACUGCCAUUGAUACUAUCUUUCUUGAAUACCGUGGAGGUCAGCGGAAUAUGUCAUGUAGCGGUGAAAUGCUUAGAUAUGACAUAGAACACCAAUUGCGAAGGCAGCUUACUACACAGUUAUUGACACUGAGGCACGAAAGCGUGGGGAUCAAACAGG
rnacentral:rRNA from 1 species